rnacentral:lncRNA from 1 species
GAGCCAGAGAUCUUGUUGGAUGGAGAACACGACAUUGACAGGACUUACGAAGUAGCUGAGAAGGUGUGGGCUGAGGUUUUCUUUUACCUAGCUCAGAACAAUGUCAUGUUUGAAGGUAUCCUCCUGAAGCCGAGCAUGGUGACUCCAGGAGCCGAGUCUAAAGACAGAGCUACUCCUGAACAAGUUGCCUCCUACACCCUUAAGCUCCUCCGCAACAGAAUCCCUCCUGCCGUCCCUGGAAUCAUGGCAAGCUUUAAAUGAGUUUUUUAUUACAAAAAAUGAGGAAAACCUAGAUCUUGGUUGCUUGAGGUGAAAGUUAAGUUUUUUUUGUGUUUUUUUUUCUGCAGUUCUUGUCCGGAGGACAGUCUGAGUUGGAGGCAACGUUGAACCUGAACGCGAUGAACCAGGCACCAAACCCGUGGCACGUGUCCUUCUCCUACGCACGUGCUCUUCAGAACACUUGCCUGAAAACAUGGGGAGGCAGAGCUGAGAACGUGAACGCAGCUCAGACCACUCUCUUGACUCGAGCCAAGGCCAAUUCGUUGGCUCAGCUCGGAAAAUACACCGGAGAAGGUGAGUCUGAAGAGGCUAAGGAGGGUAUGUUCGUCAAAG